rnacentral:lncRNA from 1 species
CGAAACCCUAGCACAGCUCCAUAAAUUAGGGUUUCAUAUAUUUUACGUCCUUCGUUUCACUCAUUUUGCCCCGAAAAUAAACCAGCAACGCCGCUGUCUACUACCCGCCACUCCACCGCCAUGGUCUCUCUCUCUCUUCUUUUCCUUUCUGUAAUUUCAUGUGUAUCAACGUAUUAAUGUAUGUAUAUGCCUAUAAAUUCCCCUCACUUAUUUACGUUUGUGAAAGUAGGCGUCAGAGAAGAAGCUGUCGAAUCCGAUGAGAGAGAUCAAGGUACAGAAACUUGUUCUCAACAUUUCUGUCGGCGAGAGCGGAGAUCGUCUCACCAGAGCUGCUAAGGUACAGUUCACUCCUACGUAUGCCUGUGCACUCGCACCCGCCAUUUUUAAUCAUUACUGCUUGUUUAUUUUUGUAAUUUGGUGUCUAAUUAUCUAUUCUUUGUAAUCCUUUUGCAGGUACUCGAACAGCUCAGUAGCCAAUCCCCUGUUUUCUCCAAGGGUAUUUUUCUCAGUUUAUGGUUGCUGAUUUUAGUUUUAUUUUUAUGCUCAUUUAAAUUGGCUUCCCGAAAAGAAAGAGUUUUGCUAUUAAAGUUGCUUCACUGGCAUGACUUGUUUUCAACUUGUAGCUCCACAGAUUAUUUUAUUUCUGUCCGUAGGAUAUAUGUCAUUCGUUAGUUUAACCACCUUUUUUUAAAAAGGAUUUUAGGAAUUCAGGUUCCACUUCCAGUAUUGUUGGAAGAAAGAGUGCGGUGUAUAGAACAUACUUAAUCAGAUUAGAUUUUAAGAAAUAUUCUGCAUUAGAUUCAUUUAAUUUUCAACAAAGUUUCUUAUAUUCAUUUCUUGAAGUCGUGAAAAUUGGGUUCUUGACUCAGUUGAGCAAUGUUUAGUAUGUGAUGAAACAAGAAUCAAUAUGUUUAGAUCAUGUUUAUAAACUUUGUGCAAACAAUCAAAGCCACUUUUUAUCCCCACAUUUUAAAGGAUCCACAACUGCCACUCACUGAUCUGCCCCUCAUUUCAAUCUUUUUGUAAUUUAAAUUGUUUAUAAACACUUUCCCAACAGGCUUUUAGUUUCAGAAUGAGUUCAAAAUACCCCUCAACUGGUUUGGAAUCCUACUUUCUGAAAAGUCGAAUUAUUUCAUUGUAUGUAUCAUGUUGGGUAUGUUUGGGGUAUCAAAGUUCAUGCUGACAGUUUGUGUGUCUUCUUUUUGAACCUUUACCCCUCAGGACCCUCCCAUUUGGUUAAAAUUUCAAAAAACAUCGAUAUAUUUUCUUAAAAUGGUCUUUUGUUUUGGUUGGCAGCAAGAUACACUGUGAGGUCCUUUGGGAUCAGACGUAAUGAAAAGAUCGCGUGCUAUGUCACAGUCAGGGGUGAUAAGGCAAUGCAGCUCCUCGAGAGUGGGUUGAAGGUCAAGGAAUAUGAACUGUUGAGAAGAAACUUUAGUGACACUGGCUGUUUUGGCUUUGGUAUCCAGGAGCACAUUGAUCUUGGAAUCAAGUAAGUAAAUAUAUUACAUUUGCUUCUUGUGCUCUUCAGGAAUAUUUUAUUUCCUUUAUUUUGAACAAUAUAGAAAAAUAUGCUAGCACUAGAACUUAACUUGAGCAAAUUGUAUCUAACUAUUUUCAUUCAAGUUAGAAGAUGUUACUGUUGCAACAUGACUAGGGUGUAUUCAUGCAAAUUUAUCUGGGUGUAUUGGUUGGUUUGUAGAUAUGGAUGGAUGAUAUGCUUGAUAAUAUUUGGUAGUUACUCCCAAAACAACUGUUAUUGUGUUGAAAUGAUUGUGUCAUUCUGUACUAUGGAUUUUCAUUAGAUUUCAUAUUAGUUGCCAAUUUUCAGCGACAAACUUUUUCCUUCUGCUGUUAUUAUGUUGAAAUGUUCGAUCCUGCUUUUGGUUAUGGUCUGUUUGUAUAGUCAUUAUGAUAUGCUUGAUAAUAUUUGGUAAUUACUCGCAAAACAACUGUUAUUACAUUGAAAUGAUUGUGUCAUUCUGUACUCGCAAAAUACCUGUUAUUUCUUUAGGUUCUUCAUUUAUUAUUGUUAUCAUCAUUCUGUACUAUAGAUUUUCUUGAACAACGUGACCAUACCGGCAGUGAUAUCCUCUCCUUUUCAUUUGUUUAUUUUUUAAUGUUUCCAGGUAUGACCCUUCUACUGGUAUCUAUGGUAUGGAUUUCUAUGUUGUCUUGGAGCGCCCCGGUUAUCGUGUGGGCCGUCGUCGUAGAUGCAAGUCGCGUGUUGGAAUCCAGCACCGGGUCACAAAGGAGGAUGCAAUGAAGUGGUUCCAGGUGAAAUAUGAAGGUGUUAUUCUCAACAAGUCCUCCAAUACUUAGUUUGAGAGCACAGGAGGACUAUCCUGUCGAAGUUUUAUAUUUUGCAUUUUAUAGACCUGAAUUUUACUUCCUGAGCCUGAAGUUUUGGAGAACUGGUUUUACGUGUUUUGCAGACGAGUUCAUUUUCGCUGAGGUUUAAUUUAGUUGUAUUUUUAUCAGUUCAUAUGGCAACUUCUAAAUGUGAUCAUUCCGGUCUGUUACUGCACGAGUUACUCAACAGCUUUUUGGCCCCAAAAUCGUUGCCUGAUAUUUAUAAAUCAUAGAAUUUAGAAUGAAGCCCCCUGUCCCGGCGCCCCUCCAAUACGGGGUGCUAUGAUCCUGACCCUGUCCCCAAGCCGGGACAGGGAGCAGGGUUGUAGAUUUUAGCUGGCUGCUCUGCUUUUGACAGCUUCUGUUAGUGACACUCUUCAUGCUGCUGUAGUCUGCAACUAUUUGUGCUUUUCUACACUAUAAUUAUCGCCAUUGUCGGCUACGUUUAUGGAAUGAAAUGGCCACUGUCUUCACUGAGGGUUAAAAUAAAAACUGUAUAGUUUACCAAAACGGAAG